AAGCCGUAGAGAUAUGGUGUCCGUAAGGGUCCUGCACAGGUGGUGCAUGGCUGUCGUCAGCUCGUGUCGUGAGAUGUUGGGUUAAGUCCCGCAACGAGCGCAACCCUCGUUCUAUGUUGCCAGCGGUUCGGCCGGGAACUCAUAGGAGACUGCCGGGGUCAACUCGGAGGAAGGUGGGGAUGACGUCAAGUCCUCAUGCCCCUUAUAUCUUGGGCUGCAAACAUGCUACAAUGGCCGGUACAGAGGGCUGCGAGACCGCAAGGUGGAGCGAAUCUCAAAAAGCCGGUCUCAGUUCGGAUUGGGGUCUGCAACUCGACCCCAUGAAGUCGGAGUCGCUAGUAAUCGCGAAUCAGCAACGUCGCGGUGAAUACGUUCCCGGGCCUUGUACACACCGCCCGUC
rnacentral:rRNA from 1 species